GUAUACCUACGGGGGGCAGCAGUGAGGAAUAUUGGUCAAUGGCCGAGAGGCUGAACCAGCCAAGUCGCGUGAGGGAAGACGGCCCUACGGGUUGUAAACCUCUUUUGUCGGGGAGCAAAGAGAGUCACGUGUGACUCAUUGAGAGUACCCGAAGAAAAAGCAUCGGCUAACUCCGUGCCAGCAGCCGCGGUAAUACGGAGGAUGCGAGCGUUAUCCGGAUUUAUUGGGUUUAAAGGGUGCGUAGGCGGACUGGAAAGUCAGCGGUAAAAUCGAGAGGCUCAACCUCUUUCCGCCGUUGAAACUGU
rnacentral:rRNA from 1 species